rnacentral:rRNA from 1 species
AUGCCGACGGCAUUCUUGCUGACCGCCCUGCUCCUGGCGGCAGCGGCAGCCACCAACGAGGCGACAGGGAGCCUCGUCGUGACCCAUGGCUGCGCGACGAGCUGCGGCGGCGUGGACAUCCCCUACCCUUUCGGCAUCGGCGGCGGCUGCUUCCGCAAGGGCUUCGAGAUCGAGUGCAUCAACAGCAGCCACGCUGAGCUCGCCGGCACGUCCAUCCGGGUGAUGCGCCUGUCGUCGGACCGGGCCGAGUCGCUGGUGAUGCUCCCCAUUGGAUGGAUGUGCUUUAACGCCUCCAGCCCCAGCGAAGCUUCGGAUUUCAGCUACGCCGAGACGGAGAUGAACAAGGACGGCGUGUACCGCAUCUCCAACACGCACAACAUGCUCGUCGUCCUCGGCUGUAACACCUUCGCCUACACCGCCAGCGGGAAGACGCAGGGCGGCACCGACGCCUACACCUACUACACCGGGUGCAUGUCCUUCUGCAACAACUCGGCCAGCGCGCAGGACGGCCUCUGCGCCGGCGUCGGCUGCUGCCGCCUCGACAUCCCGCCGGGCCUCACCGGCAACUACUUCAAGUUCCGCGCCUACAACCACUCCACCAUGAUGGACUACAGCCCCUGCGACUACGCCUUCCUCGUCGACAGGAACAACUACACCUUCCGCCGCUCCGACCUCCGCAUGGACACCAGCCGGACCUCGCCCGUGUGGCUCGACUGGGCCAUCCGCGGCAACGGUUCCGUCGAUAUCACCGCCGUCGACGUGUUGUCGUGCACGCAGGCGCCCAAGACGGGUCAGUAUGCCUGCGUCAGCGCGUACAGCGACUGCGUGGAUUCCACCAAUGGGCCUGGCUACAACUGCAAGUGCUCCGAAGGCUACGAGGGCAACGCCUACCUUACCUUGUCCUCAUCACUAGACCAAUUUUUGCCUUUGUUGGAUUUUCCUUUCUCUGUUAUUGCAGAACGAUGCUGAGUUGAUGGAGUUGCCUGCUCUUCAAUUGGACUUUCUAGUUGUGUUUGCGUGUAACCAAAACCAAGGAUGUCCAAGAAGCUUUGAUAUAGAUGAAUGUGCACAUCCAGCAAAGUAUCCUUGCUACGGUAUCUGCAAGGACACUCAAGGAUCUUACCAAUGCCCUGUCAUCCAGGUUAUGAGAGCGAUGACCCAAGAACUGGACCCUGCGCUCCAAAGUUCCCACUUGUUGCACAGAUUUCCAUAGGUGUAAUAGGUGGUACACUUGUCAUCGCAUUUGUGGCAUUCAUUAUUAUUAUUCGAAAAGAGAAGCGGAAGACCAGAGAGUUUUAUGAGAAAAAUGGUGGUCUUACCUUGGAGAAAGCUAAAGUUAUAAAGCUUUUCAAAAAGGAGGAGCUCAAGCCAAUUUUGAAAAGUAGCAAUUUAAUUGGAAAAGGUGGCUUUGGUGAAGUUUACAAGGGGGUUGUUGAUAACAUACUAGUUGCAGUAAAGAAACCAAUUAGUGGUAAUGUGCUGGAGAACAAGCAAUUUGCAAAUGAAGUCAUCAUACAGUCUCAAGUCAUCCACAAGAACAUUGUUAAGCUUAUAGGUUGUUGCCUAGAAGUGGAUACCCCCAUGCUAGUGUACGAGUUCAUUUCCAAAGGAAGCUUGCAUGACAUUCUUCACGAGUCUGACAAGAGGGAGCCGCUCAACUUGGAUGUGCGCCUAAGCAUUGUUGUGGAAUCGGCACAUGGUCUAGCUUAUAUGCAUUCCCAAGCCCAUACCAAAAUCUUGCACGGUGAUGUUAAACCAGCCAAUAUACUUUUGGAUGACAACUUUGUGCCAAAGAUCUCAGACUUUGGCAUAUCGAGGUUGAUUGCAAUAGAUAAGGAACACACUGCAAAUGUCAUUGGUGACAUGACUUAUAUGGAUCCAGUAUACCUGCAAAUAGGUCGACUGACUGAAAAAAGUGAUGUCUACAGUUUUGGGGUUGUCAUCUUAGAGGUCAUUAGCAGGAAGAAGGCCACUCAUUCCGACAAUAACAGCUUAGUGACGAGUUUCCUUGAGUGUCAUAAAGAAGGGAAGAAAGCAACUGAGUUGUUUGAUAAGGAAAUUGUCGUAGCAGGAGAUUUGGAGCUUCUUGACACUCUGGCAGGUAUUGCUGUGGAAUGUCUUAACCUAGAUGUGGAUCAAAGACCAUCAAUGACAGAUGUCGUGACGCGUCUUCUCACAUUGAAUAGAUCCCGUGUGUUGUAA